AAAAAGACAAACUCUGGGUUUCCGUGUCCAACUUUGACUGUUCGUCUUAUAUGAAAUUUUUUUUAUAAUUUGUAUUUUCAUUGUUGUUAGAUGAUAAAACAUGAUUAAUAUUUUAUGCGUGACUUGUCUUUUUAAUUUUUUUCAUAAUUUUUUUAAAUAAGACGAACGGUCAAACAUUGGGCACGGAAACCAGGGUUUGUCUUUUU
rnacentral:pre_miRNA from 1 species